rnacentral:tRNA from 1 species
GGAGUUAGCCUGUGUUGCGAGCUGGUUUCGAAAACCAGUGUACCUUCGGGUACCGCGGGUUCGAAUCCCGCCCUCUCCG